rnacentral:tRNA from 1 species
GCACCCAUCGUCUAGUUGGACUAGGACAUUGCCCUUUCACGGCAAGAACACGGGUUCGAAUCCCGUUGGGUGUACCA